GACGAACGCUGGCGGCGCGCUUAACACAUGCGAGUCGAACGGAAAGGCCCUGCUUUUGUGGGGUGCUCGAGUGGCGAACGGGUGAGUAACACGUGAGUAACCUGCCCUUGACUUUGGGAUAACUUCAGGAAACUGGGGCUAAUACCGGAUAGGAGCUCCUGCUGCAUGGUGGGGGUUGGAAAGUUUCGGCGGUUGGUGAUGGACUCGCGGCUUAUCAGCUUGUUGGUGGGGUAGUGGCUUACCAAGGCUUUGACGGGUAGCCGGCCUGAGAGGGUGACCGGCCACAUUGGGACUGAGAUACGGCCCAGACUCCUACGGGAGGCAGCAGUGGGGAAUAUUGCACAAUGGGCGGAAGCCUGAUGCAGCAACGCCGCGUGCGGGAUGACGGCCUUCGGGUUGUAAACCGCUUUCGCCUGUGACGAAGCGUGAGUGACGGUAAUGGGUAAAGAAGCACCGGCUAACUACGUG
rnacentral:rRNA from 1 species